AACGAACGCUGGCGGCGUGGAUAAGACAUGCAAGUCGGACGAGAUUUUUCGUUGUAGCAAUACGAUGGAAAGUCUAGUGGCGAACGGGUGCUUAACACGUGGGCAACCUGCCAAGAAGUGGGGGACAGCUCGCCGAAAGGCGAAUUAAUACCGCAUGUGAUUAGAGAGGACAUCCUUUCCAAAUUAAAGUCGGGGCAACCUGACGCUUCUUGUGGGGCCCGCGGCCUAUCAGCUAGUUGGUGAGGUAACGGCUCACCAAGGCUUUGACGGGUAGCUGGUCUGAGAGGACGACCAGCCACACUGGGACUGAGACACGGCCCAGACACCUACGGGUGGCAGCAGUCGAGAAUUUUUCUCAAUGGGGGAAACCCUGAAGGAGCGACGCCGCGUGGAGGAUAAAGGUCUUCGGAUUGUAAACUCCUGUCAUUGGGGAACAAGGUGCAUACGUUAACUGCGUGUGCAUUGAUAGUACCCGGAGAGGAAGAGACGGCUAACUCUGUGCCAGCCGCCGCAGUAACAC
rnacentral:rRNA from 1 species